CGCUGGCGGCAUGCUUUACACAUGCAAGUCGAGCGGCAGCGCGGGGGCAACCCUGGCGGCGAGCGGCGAACGGGUGAGUAAUACAUCGGAACGUGUCCAGUAGUGGGGGAUAACCAGUCGAAAGAUUGGCUAAUACCGCAUACGAUCUACGGAUGAAAGCGGGGGACCGCAAGGCCUCGCGCUAUUGGAGCGGCCGAUGUCCGAUUAGCUAGUUGGCGGGGUAACGGCCCACCAAGGCGACGAUCGGUAGCUGGUCUGAGAGGAUGAUCAGCCACACUGGAACUGAGACACGGUCCAGACUCCUACGGGAGGCAGCAGUGGGGAAUUUUGGACAAUGGGCGCAAGCCUGAUCCAGCCAUGCCGCGUGAGUGAAGAAGGCCUUCGGGUUGUAAAGCUCUUUCGGCGGGGACGAAACGGUUCGUGACAACACCACGAACCAAUGACGGUACUCGCAGAAGAAGCACCGGCUAACUACGUGCCAGCAGCCGCGGUAAUACGUAGGGUGCAGGCGUUAAUCGGAAUUACUGGGCGUAAAGCGUGCGCAGGCGGCUCCUUAAGUCAGAUGUGAAAGCCCCGGCUUAACCUGGGAACUGCGUUUGAAACUGGGGGGCU
rnacentral:rRNA from 1 species